rnacentral:rRNA from 1 species
UACGUAGGGAGCAAGCGUUGUCCGGAAUCAUUGGGCGUAAAGCGCGCGUAGGCGGCCCGAUAAGUCCGUUGUGAAAGUCAAAGGCUCAACCUUUGAAUGCCGAUGGAUACUGUCGGGCUAGAGUCCGGAAGAGGCGAGUGGAAUUCCUGGUGUAGCGGUGGAAUGCGCAGAUAUCAGGAGGAACACCGGUGGCGAAGGCGGUUCUCUGGGCCUGUACUGACGCUGAGGAACGAAAGCGUGGGGAGCGAACAGG